rnacentral:rRNA from 1 species
AAUAUUGCACAAUGGGGGAAACCCUGAUCCAGCCAUCCCGCGUGUAUGAUGAAGGCCUUCGGGUUGUAAAGUACUUUUGGCAGAGAAGAAAAGGUACCUCCUAAUACGAGGUACUGCUGACGGUAUCUGCAGAAUAAGCACCGGCUAACUACGUGCCAGCAGCUGCGGUAAUACGUAGGGUGCAAGCGUUAAUCGGAAUUACUGGGCGUAAAGCGUGCGCAGGCGGUUCGGCAAGAAGGAUGUGAAAUCCCGGGGCUUAACCUCGGAACUGCAUUCUUAACUGCCGGGCUAGAGUAUGUCAGAGGGGGGUAGAAUUCCACGUGUAGCAGUGAAAUGCGUAGAUAUGUGGAGGAAUACCGAUGGCGAAGGCAGCCCCCUGGGAUAAUACUGACGCUCAGACACGAAAGCGUGGGGAGCAAACA